rnacentral:ncRNA from 2 species
UAACCAUCCCGAGCGGCUGAGAGAUCUGGCUCAGAGACGCCGCAGCAACCCGGAUACGCCGGGUGCUAACGCCAGGACCGAUGGAGU